GACGAACGCUGGCGGCGUGCCUAAUACAUGCAAGUAGAACGCUGAAGAGAGGAGCUUGCUCUUCUUGGAUGAGUUGCGAACGGGUGAGUAACGCGUAGGUAACCUGCCUUGUAGCGGGGGAUAACUAUUGGAAACGAUAGCUAAUACCGCAUAACAAUGGAUGACCCAUGUCAUUUAUUUGAGAGGGGCAAAUGCUCCACUACAAGAUGGACCUGCGUUGUAUUAGCUAGUAGGUGAGGUAACGGCUCACCUAGGCGACGAUACAUAGCCGACCUGAGAGGGUGAUCGGCCGCACUGGGACUGAGACACGGCCCAGACUCCUACGGGAGGCAGCAGUAGGGAAUCUUCGGCAAUGGGGGCAACCCUGACCGAGCAACGCCGCAUGAGUGAAGAAGGUUUUCGGAUCGUAAAGCUCUGUUGUAAGUCAAGAACGAGUGUGAGAGUGGAAAGUUCACACUGUGACGGUAGCUUACCAGAAAGGGACGGCUAACUACGUG
rnacentral:rRNA from 1 species